rnacentral:rRNA from 1 species
UACGGAGGGUGCGAGCGUUGUCCGGAAUCACUGGGCGUAAAGGGCGCGUAGGCGGCGCGGGGAGUCAACGGUGAAAGCUCGGCGCUCAACGCCGAGUCGGCCGUCGAUACUCCCGUGCUCGAGCACUGUAGAGGCAGGUGGAAUUCCGGGUGUAGCGGUGAAAUGCGUAGAUAUCAGGAGGAACACCUGUGGCGAAAGCGGCUCACUGGACCACAACUGACGCUGAGGCGCGAAAGCUAGGGGAGCAAACAGG